AAGAGAUCGAGUGACAUGUAGCAUACUACAAAACUUAGAAAAAAGACCCCCAAAUGCAGACCCAAUUUCUGAACUAACAGGUCUGAUUGAAGUAAGAGAUCUAAUAACAAUGAUAACAGGUCUCUUAUGUGCAUUAGGACCCACUAUGUUUGGCGGUAAAAAAAAAAAUUAAAGAAAUAACAUACUCGUUGUUAAUCUAACGGGUCUGUUACAUGCACGAGGGACCACUUCUCUCGUUGGGAAAAGCUAGAGACAAAUAUAAAGCCAUAUUUUCCAAUGUCUCCCUUACUUUCCUUUAUUUAUAAAAAUAAAUUCCUUACUAGUGUUUUCUCCAUCACCUUCACUCACCUAGCGUGAUACUCCCAGAUUCCUCUUCCUCACUUUAUAAUUCACUUUAACUUUUUUUUUUGGCCGAUCGAUUUCUUGAGAAAUUCGAGUAGUAUUAUCGCUCUGUUUAUCACAAGUUUGAGUCUGAGAAGCAGCAGUUUAUGCGGCAGCAGAAGGUGGAAGCUCCGCCGAGGGAGGAUGCUGUGGUGGUGGUUGAUGAAGUACAGGGGAAUCCUUGGAGUAAAAACCCGUCUCUGGAACCGCCAAGAAUCGAGAGUAGUCCUCCGAAGAAGCUCUUAAUCUUUGAUAUCAUCUAUUUCCUCCUUUGAUUUUUUUUUUUUUUAAAUCAACCAAAAAUUAUGAAGCCAUAACCACCUUCCCUCUAGUGUCGUUGGAAGCAACUUCACGUCUCUUAAUGGCCCAAUUUGAGUAUCUAAAUUGCAAGAUCUGAAGAGUAAUAAUACUAUGAUGUUUGCUUUGUUACGUUAUUGACUAUUGCAGUGAUUGAAUUGGAUGAAGAUGGUAAAUAAAAGUUCGAUUGUGAGAAGAAAGAUAUAGAUAGUUAUAUGUAAUCAUCUUAAGUUAGUUUUCCGUAACAAAAGAAUUGCAAGUUUAUCAAUUGCAAAUAUUUGGUAUAUAUAUUUGAAUGCUAUAUUUGUUGUACGUUUAAGGAGUGUGAUUGUAUUGUAUAACUUGUUGAAGCAAGUAUGUAAGGUUGUAUAUUCUUGUAAAUAUCAUAACUAUAAUGGUAUGUAGACGUUAUUUUAUUCAA